AGAUGUUUAAAUGAAACAGUCUCCUCUGUAUGAACUGCUUACGGACAAUGAGAGGAUGCUAAAAUCCAUGGACUAUCUCCAGGACAGAACGAUUGGGCUCCAAACUGACUGAACUGAGCACCGAGCACAGUCCCAUUUCUUAUUUUUACCCCUACCCCUUGUUUUUGAGCAUCAC